rnacentral:rRNA from 1 species
GUCGAGAAUCUUUCACAAUGGGGGCAACCCUGAUGGAGCGACGCCGCGUGGAGGAUAAGGUCUUCGGAUUGUAAACUCCUGUCAUGCGUGAACAAGGUUGCUUGGUUAAUACCUGGGCAAAUUGAUGGUAACGCAAGAGGAAGAGACGACUAACUCUGUGCCAGCAGCCGCGGUAAUACAGAGGUCUCAAGCGUUGUUCGGAAUCACUGGGCGUAAAGGGUGCGUAGGUGGCGUGGUAAGUCAGAUGUGAAAGCCCGGGGCUCAACCUCGGAACUGCAUCCGAUACUGCCAUGCUAGAGUACUGGAGAGGUGACUAGAAUUCUCGGUGUAGCAGUGAAAUGCGUAGAUAUCGAGAGGAAUACCAAAGGCGUAGGCAGGUCACUGGACAGUUACUGACACUGAGGCACGAAGGCCAGGGGAGCGAACGGGAUUAGAAACCCUAGUAGUCC